UAACCUACCUAUAAGACGUGGGAUUAACGUACGGAAACCGGAGCUAAUACCGGAUAAUAUAUUGAACCGCAUGGUUCAAUGGUGAAAGACGGUUUUGCUGUCACUUAUAGAUGGAUCCGCGCCGCAUUAGCUAGUUGGUAAGGUAACGGCUUACCAAGGCAACGAUGCGUAGCCGACCUGAGAGGGUGAUCGGCAACACUGGAACUGAGACACGGUCCAGACUCCUACGGGAGGCAGCAGGA
rnacentral:rRNA from 1 species